UGCCAGCCGCCGCGGUAAUACGAAGGGGGUUAGCGUUGUUCGGAAUUACUGGGCGUAAAGCGCACGUAGGCGGAUUGGAGAGCUGGGGGUGAAAUCCCGGGGCUCAACCCCGGAACUGCCUCCAAAACUGCCAGUCUAGAGCUCGAGAGAGGUGAGUGGAAUUCCGAGUGUAGAGGUGAAAUUCGUAGAUAUUCGGAGGAACACCAGUGGCGAAGGCAGUUCACUGGACCGUGAUCGACGCUGAGGAGCGAAAGCUAGGGGAGCAAACAGGAUUAGAUA
rnacentral:rRNA from 1 species